rfam:Dipodomys ordii contig_10932, whole genome shotgun sequence.
UGGGAUGUAGCUCAGUGGCAAAGCGCUUGCCUAGCAAGUGUAACGUCCUGGGUUCGAUCCCCAGUACCAA